rnacentral:rRNA from 1 species
AUCGAACGCUGGCGGCAGGCCUAACACAUGCAAGUCGAACGGUAGCACAGAGAGCUGGCUCUCGGGUGACGAGUGGCGGACGGGUGAGUAAUGGCUGGCACACUGCCCGAUGGCGGGGGAUCACUACUGGAAACGGUAGCUAAUACCGCAUAACGUCGCAAGACCAAAGUGGGGCACCUUCGGGCCUCACACCAUCGGAUGUGCCCAGACGGGAUUAGCUGGUAGGUGGGGUAAUGGAGCACCUAGGCGACGAACCCUAGAUGGACUGGGAGGCUGGCCAGCCGCACUGGAGCGGGGACGCGGUCCAGAGUCCUACGGGAGGGAGCAGUGGGGAAUAUUGCACAAUGGGCGCAAGCCUGAGGCAGCCAGGCCGCGUGUAUGAAGAAGGCCUUCGGGUUGUAAAGUACUUUCAGCGGGGAGGAAGGCGGUGAAGUUAAUAACUUCACCGAUUGACGUUACCCGCAGAAGAAGCACCGGCUAACUCCGUGCCAGCCGCCGCGGUAA